AACGGAAAGGCCCUGCUUGCAGGGUACUCGAGUGGCGAACGGGUGAGUAACACGUGGGUGAUCUACCCUGCACUUCGGGAUAAGCUUGGGAAACUGGGUCUAAUACCGGAUAGGAGCCAUCUUUAGUGUGGUAGUUGGAAAGUUUUUUCGGUGUAGGAUGAGCUCGCGGCCUAUCAGCUUGUUGGUGGGGUAAUGGCCUACCAAGGCGGCGACGGGUAGCCGGCCUGAGAGGGUGUACGGCCACAUUGGGACUGAGAUACGGCCCAGACUCCUACGGGAGGCAGCAGUGGGGAAUAUUGCACAAUGGGCGCAAGCCUGAUGCAGCGACGCCGCGUGGGGGAUGAAGGCCUUCGGGUUGUAAACUCCUUUCGCUAGGGACGAAGCUUUUUUGUGACGGUACCUAGAUAAGAAGCACCGGCUAACUACGUGCCAGCAGCCGCGGUAAUACGUAGGGUGCGAGCGUUGUCCGGAAUUACUGGGCGUAAAGGGCUCGUAGGUGGUUUGUCGCGUCGUCUGUGAAAUUCUGGGGCUUAACUCCGGGCGUGCAGGCGAUACGGGCAUAACUUGAGUGCUGUAGGGGUAACUGGAAUUCCUGGUGUAGCGGUGAAAUGCGCAGAUAUCAGGAGGAACACCGAUGGCGAAGGCAGGUUACUGGGCAGUUACUGACGCUGAGGAGCGAAAGCAUGGGUAGCGAACAGGAUUAGAUACCCUGGU
rnacentral:rRNA from 1 species